rnacentral:sRNA from 1 species
AUUUUUGCAUUUUUUGUAGAGAUGGGGUUUUGCUAUGUUGCCCAGGCUGGUCUCAAACUCCUGGGCUCAAGCAAUCUGCCCACCUUGGCCUCUCAAAGUGCUAGGAUUACAGGCAUGAGCCACUGGGCCUGGCCCUUACUAUUUUCCUAUUUUCUGGGCACUUGCCGCCCCGAGAUUCAUAUGCAUUUGUCGCUUCUCCCUGAUUGUCACACCCACUGGAAUGUUGGAAUAGACUUUACAGCCUCCAACGGGAAUCCCCUCGACCCUUCCUCUUUGCACUAUAUCAACCCUAUGGGCACCAACGAAUAUCUGUCGGCCAUCUGGGCUGUUGGGCAGAUCAUUCAGGACUAUGACAGUGAUAAGAUGUUUCCAGCUCUAGGAUUCGGGGCCCAGUUACCCCCAGACUGGAAGCAGUACUUCAUUCUCCUCAUCAUCACGGAUGGGGUCAUCAGUGACAUGGAGGAGACGCGGCAUGCCGUGGUGCAGGCUUCCAAGCUGCCCAUGUCCAUCAUCAUCGUGGGCGUGGGCAAUGCGGACUUCGCUGCCAUGGAGUUCCUGGAUGGGGACAGCCGCAUGCUGCGCUCCCACACGGGGGAGGAGGCAGCCCGCGAUAUUGUGCAGUUUGUUCCCUUUCGAGAGUUCCGCAACGUGAGUGUGGGCCUGGGCUGGGAGGGGGUGGUUACAGGAUCCCAGCCACCAUAGCUCAUAAUCAAGCUUGAGAGUCUUGGGGUUGUCUGGCCCAAUCCUAGACUUCUCCACUCCAUUGACUAUGCUCUUCUGAGGGCCUGCUGUGUGCCAGGCACCGUGCCAGGCCUUGCCCCGGUGGUGGCCGUUGUGAUAGUGUGAGCACUUGCUUCCACAAACUGAUGGAACAUGGAGCCGUGGGCAUCUAGCCUGAGGCUCUGGGGCAGGGCUUCCUGGAAGACCUGCCCUCUAGUGGGGUCUGAUGAGAGGCUGGGGCUAUCCAUGUGGUGUAAAGUGCAGGAGGAGAGAGGGGUUUUCCUGAUCAUCACACCCCAGCAAGCCCCCUCAUUUUGCAGACAGAAAACAAGGCCUCCCAGUCAUCUUAGGUUGACCUCCUCUCCCUAAAACCCUCUGUCUGGGAGAAUGGUGUCCCCAGCCUUGUUCCUGGAAGUGGCUCUGGCUUUAUUUGCAGGUGAUCCCAGGUCUGCCCACAAGAAGGCCGGGGUUGUCUUCCUGAUCACUGCCCUAGCAGCAGGGUACAUGAGGAGUCCCAUAGGGGAGCAGUCUCUCCACUGUACUGCUGUACUGUAAUGCCACCCCCGUACUGCUGGCUGGGGGCUUAACCCAGCCUCACCAAGAACUGCCCACGCUGGUUUGCACCCAGUGGCCCUCACCUCUCUGCCCAGCAUCCUGUGGGGUGGCCUGCUCCUUCCUCUGGAGCAUUCGCUUCCUAAGGACAAACGCUGGGCAUGGGUCACCCCUUCAUGCACAGGUCGGUGACCAAGUACCUCCAUGUGCCUGGCCUGUGGCUGGCCAUUCACUAGUGAACCAGACUGUCAGGCCCAUUCAUUCCCACCAAGAAGGUGCUCAGGAGAUGUUUGCCAGACACAUAGGUACUUCCUGCAGACGGAGUCAUCCUAACCCGUUACUCCCAAGCAUCUCAAGUGCUCCAGGUAACACUUACACCUAACCUAAAGGAAGGCACUGCAGUCAGGGGGAAUUUCAGGCCUGGGCUGAGAUGAGGGACGCCACUUGCAGACAGCCCUGGCCCGCAGCCCUAAUUUUGUCCUCAAUGGACACCUGCUGUAGCAGCCCUCUGGGCAUAGUGCCGCUCACAACUUCCGGUCAUUAAUCCUUAUUCUCUCUUUCCCACCCCACCCUCCUCCACCCUGCAGGCAGCAAAAGAGACCUUGGCCAAAGCUGUGCUGGCGGAGCUGCCCCAACAAGUUGUGCAGUAUUUCAAGCAUAAAAACCUGCCCCCCACCAACUCGGAGCCCGCCUGAGCUCCAAUGCCCAGCAGCAGCAUGUCAGCUGAGCCUCCUGCCCUCCCCCAGGAGCAUGCACGCUCACCCUGCUUCCUUGUGGGUGGCCUUUUUUUACCGAUCCACAUUUUUAUUUUUUACAACCGGACCUCCACCCCCAACUUCCUCCAGCCCAGCUGGGCUUCCUUUGUUGGAGUCAACUGUUGAUGCUUCCAGGCCAAACUGGCUUCCUCUCCUCCUCUCCCCACCUUUGCCAUUCUUAAGUAUUGAAUGUACUUUGUAUAAUUUUAGUGGAAUUGUUAUUGAGAAUAAAAUUUUUACAAUCAU